AGAGUUUGAUCCUGGCUCAGGAUGAACGCCGGCGGUGUGCCUAAUACAUGCAAGUCGUACGCACUGGCCCAACUGAUUGAUGGUGCUUGCACCUGAUUGACGUUGGAUCACCAGUGAGUGGCGGACGGGUGAGUAACACGUAGGUAACCUGCCCCGGAGCGGGGGAUAACAUUUGGAAACAGAUGCUAAUACCGCAUAACAACAAAAGCCACAUGGCUUUUGUUUGAAAGAUGGCUUUGGCUAUCACUCUGGGAUGGACCUGCGGUGCAUUAGCUAGUUGGUAAGGUAACGGCUUACCAAGGCGAUGAUGCAUAGCCGAGUUGAGAGACUGAUCGGCCACAAUGGAACUGAGACACGGUCCAUACUCCUACGGGAGGCAGCAGUAGGGAAUCUUCCACAAUGGGCGCAAGCCUGAUGGAGCAACACCGCGUGAGUGAAGAAGGGUUUCGGCUCGUAAAGCUCUGUUGUUGGAGAAGAACGUGCGUGAGAGUAACUGUUCACGCAGUGACGGUAUCCAACCAGAAAGUCACGGCUAACUACGUGCCAGCAGCCGCGGUAAUACGUAGGUGGCAAGCGUUAUCCGGAUUUAUUGGGCGUAAAGCGAGCGCAGGCGGUUGCUUAGGUCUGAUGUGAAAGCCUUCGGCUUAACCGAAGAAGUGCAUCGGAAACCGGGCGACUUGAGUGCAGAAGAGGACAGUGGAACUCCAUGUGUAGCGGUGGAAUGCGUAGAUAUAUGGAAGAACACCAGUGGCGAAGGCGGCUGUCUGGUCUGCAACUGACGCUGAGGCUCGAAAGCAUGGGUAGCGAACAGGAUUAGAUACCCUGGUAGUCCAUGCCGUAAACGAUGAGUGCUAGGUGUUGGAGGGUUUCCGCCCUUCAGUGCCGGAGCUAACGCAUUAAGCACUCCGCCUGGGGAGUACGACCGCAAGGUUGAAACUCAAAGGAAUUGACGGGGGCCCGCACAAGCGGUGGAGCAUGUGGUUUAAUUCGAAGCUACGCGAAGAACCUUACCAGGUCUUGACAUCUUGCGCUAACCUUAGAGAUAAGGCGUUCCCUUCGGGGACGCAAUGACAGGUGGUGCAUGGUCGUCGUCAGCUCGUGUCGUGAGAUGUUGGGUUAAGUCCCGCAACGAGCGCAACCCUUGUUACUAGUUGCCAGCAUUAAGUUGGGCACUCUAGUGAGACUGCCGGUGACAAACCGGAGGAAGGUGGGGACGACGUCAGAUCAUCAUGCCCCUUAUGACCUGGGCUACACACGUGCUACAAUGGACGGUACAACGAGUCGCAAGCUCGCGAGAGUAAGCUAAUCUCUUAAAGCCGUUCUCAGUUCGGACUGUAGGCUGCAACUCGCCUACACGAAGUCGGAAUCGCUAGUAAUCGCGGAUCAGCAUGCCGCGGUGAAUACGUUCCCGGGCCUUGUACUCACCGCCCGUCA
rnacentral:rRNA from 1 species